UACAGAGGGGGCAAGCGUUAUUCGGAAUUAUUGGGCGUAAAGGGCGCGUAGGCGGCUUGGCAAGUGGAAGGUGAAAUCCCUCGGCUUAACCGAGGAACUGCCCUCCAAAACUGCUUCGCUUGAGACCGGGAGAGGUGAGUGGAAUUCCCAGUGUAGCGGUGAAAUGCGUAGAUAUUGGGAGGAACACCAGUGGCGAAGGCGGCUCGCUGGACCGGUACUGACGCUGAUGCGCGAAAAGCGUGGGGGAGCAAACGGG
rnacentral:rRNA from 1 species